rnacentral:rRNA from 1 species
GACGAACGCUGGCGGCGUGCUUAACACAUGCAAGUCGAACGAGUGGCGAACGGGUGAGUAAUACGUGAGUAACCUGCCCUCUUUUUGGGAUAAGCCUUGGAAACGGGGUCUAAUACCGGAUAAAGGGGGAUGGGCUCGCGGCCUAUCAGCUUGUUGGUGGGGUGAUGGCCUAUCAAGGCGGUGACGGGUAGCCGGCCUGAGGGGGGGAGCGGGCACAUUGGGACUGAGAUACGGCCAAGAGUGCUACGGGAGGAAGAAGUGGGGGAAAUUGCACAAUGGGGGAAAGCCUGAUGCAGCGGCGCCGCGUGGGGGAUGAAGGCUUUAGGGUUGUAAACCUCUUGCGCUCUCGAACGGGUAGGUGGAGAAGAAGCGCCGGCUAACUACGUGCCAGCAGCCGCGGUAAUUC